GAUGAACGCUGGCGGCGUGCCUAAUACAUGCAAGUCGAGCGAACAGACGAGGAGCUUGCUCCUCUGACGUUAGCGGCGGACGGGUGAGUAACACGUGGAUAACCUACCUAUAAGACUGGGAUAACUUCGGGAAACCGGAGCUAAUACCGGAUAAUAUAUUGAACCGCAUGGUUCAAUAGUGAAAGACGGUUUUGCUGUCACUUAUAGAUGGAUCCGCGCCGCAUUAGCUAGUUGGUAAGGUAACGGCUUACCAAGGCAACGAUGCGUAGCCGACCUGAGAGGGUGAUCGGCCACACUGGAACUGAGACACGGUCCAGACUCCUACGGGAGGCAGCAGUAGGGAAUCUUCCGCAAUGGGCGAAAGCCUGACGGAGCCACGCCGCGUGAGUGAUGAAGGUCUUCGGAUCGUAAAACUCUGUUAUUAGGGAAGAACAAAUGUGUAAGUAACUAUGCACGUAUUGACGGUACCUAAUCAGAAAGCCACGGCUAACUACGUG
rnacentral:rRNA from 1 species